AGCUGAGCACAGACAUUGCUUUGGCCCAGAGCCGCUCGCAGUGGCGCCUGGAGGACCUCGGAGGCCUAGAGCGGCUUUGACCAGCGAGAGGAGAGCCCAGAGCGUCGCCUGACAGCCGGAAGUGACGGCACGGAGGCAAGAUGGCGGCGCGGAGCGAGCUGCUGCGGCUGGAGGUGCUGCUGCCGCUGCCUGCUGGCCUGGCACAGGUGGCACUGAGGGCGCUGGGCCCAGGCCUGCAGCCCCAGCCCGGCCCGGGGGGAGGCCUCAGCAGCGCCCCCGGGCCAGGCUGCAGUGCUGCGGGGACAAGCUGAGGGCCUGAGUGGGCACUGGGGGGCGCUGGGCGGGGACGGGGAGGGGCUGGGGGAUUAGUGGGGGCAUACAAGGAGGUGAGUGGGGGUCUCUGGGAGGCCAGUGGGCGGGUCUGGGGGUCCCUGGGAGGUCCCUAGGAGGGUCUCGGGGUCCCUGGGUGGGUCUGAGGGUCCCUGACAGGUCCCUGGGAGGGUCUGGGGGUCCCUGAGCCCUCCCCCCGCAGGCUCUGGGUCUCCCGGGGGGCUGGAGGCCUGCGGGGGGAGGUCUCCUCCUUCCUGGAGCUGCUGGGGCUGUGCUGGAGACCAUCGAGCACUUCGGUGGGGCGGGGCAGGGGCAGGCCCCGCCCAGGCCAGAGGAUGCACCAAUCAGCUGCUGACCCUCCCCGUCCUAACCAGUUCCCCCCCCCCCCCAAUAAAGCACCAAACUCUGCCAGGUGGA